UACGUAGGGCGCGAGCGUUGUCCGGAAUUAUUGGGCGUAAAGCGUGCGUAGGCGGUUUGUUAAGUCUGUUGUGAAAGCCCCGGGCUCAACCUGGGAAUGGCAAUGGAUACUGGCAAGCUAGAGUGCGGUAGAGGGUAGUGGAAUUCCCGGUGUAGCGGUGAAAUGCGUAGAGAUCGGGAGGAACACCAGUGGCGAAGGCGGCUACCUGGACCAGCACUGACACUGAGGCACGAAAGCGUGGGGAGCAAACAGG
rnacentral:rRNA from 1 species